rnacentral:rRNA from 1 species
UGGGGAAUUUUGGACAAUGGGCGAAAGCCUGAUCCAGCAAUGCCGCGUGUGUGAAGAAGGCCUUCGGGUUGUAAAGCACUUUUGUCCGGAAAGAAAUCCUUGGCUCUAAUACAGUCGGGGGAUGACGGUACCGGAAGAAUAAGCACCGGCUAACUACGUGCCAGCAGCCGCGGUAAUACGUAGGGUGCAAGCGUUAAUCGGAAUUACUGGGCGUAAAGCGUGCGCAGGCGGUUUGCUAAGACCGAUGUGAAAUCCCCGGGCUCAACCUGGGAACUGCAUUGGUGACUGGCAGGCUAGAGUAUGGCAGAGGGGGGUAGAGUUCCACGUGUAGCAGUGAAAUGCGUAGAGAUGUGGAGGAAUACCGAUGGCGAAGGCAGCCCCCUGGGCCAAUACUGACGCUCAUGCACGAAAGCGUGGGGAGCAAACAGGAUUAGAUACCCUGGUAGUCCACGCCCUAAACGAUGUCAACUAGUUGUUGGGGAUUCAUUUCCUUAGUAACGUAGCUAACGCGUGAAGUUGACCGCCUGGGGAGUACGGUCGCAAGAUUAAAACUCAAAGGAAUUGACGGGGUCAUAGCUGUUUCCU